rnacentral:rRNA from 1 species
UACGUAGGUGGCAAGCGUUGUCCGGAUUUACUGGGCGUAAAGGAUGCGUAGGCGGACAUUUAAGUCAGAUGUGAAAUACCCGAGCUUAACUUGGGUGCUGCAUUUGAAACUGGGUGUCUAGAGUGCAGGAGAGGUAAGUGGAAUUCCUAGUGUAGCGGUGAAAUGCGUAGAGAUUAGGAAGAACACCAGUAGCGAAGGCGACUUACUGGACUGUAACUGACGCUGAGGCAUGAAAGCGUGGGGAGCAAACAGG